CCUUGCUUUCCCCAAGGCUGCCCUUUCCUUUCUCAUGACAGCCCACCCAUCAUUCCCUCAGAGCCCCAAUGUCCUUCCAAGUGUUUCCCAGCAAGACCCCUAGAGACACCCUGUAGCCCCCCACAGAGCCCUGGAGCCCCUCAAGGACCCCCUCAGACGCAGUACACCUCCCCCGUAGCUGGCCCAUACCCACAUGGUGCCCCACAGUCCCCAGCAUCACCCCAUGUCCCCCACUGGGCUUCCACGGAGUCCUCCUAUUUCCUCCCUCAGACCUCCUUUACACCUCCAAGAUCCCCCCUGGGAACUCCCUGAAACCCAGGGAACCCCAUGUUCCCUGACAGGUCCCCAUCACCAUGCCAGGACCCCCAUAGCCCAUCUUUGGCCUCUCCUCCCCCUGACCUGCCUCCAGAUCCCGUACAACCUCCCGGUGCUGUGGCAUGGAUGGCUUCUGCAGGUGAGGAAUGAGGAGCUGGAGAAGGUGUAGGGCACAGAUGUGGGUGAAAGUGAAGUGGGUGGCACUGGGGAUACUGGGGAACACGGAUCAGAACAUGGGAGGAUUUGGGGAGGAUAAGGGGAUAUGGACCACAGCCUACAGGAGCAGAGUGCUUCACAGGAGAAGGCAAGGUGUGAGGUACAGGUGGGACUUGUGGGUGCGGGGA
ensembl:lncRNA